UAAUAACUUGUCGAAUCGCAUGGCCUUGCGCCGGCGAUGGUUCAUUCAAAUUUCUGCCCUAUCAACUUUCGAUGGUAGGAUAGUGGCCUACCAUGGUGGCAACGGGUAACGGGGAAUUAGGGUUCGAUUCCGGAGAGGGAGCCUGAGAAACGGCUACCACAUCCAAGGAAGGCAGCAGGCGCGCAAAUUACCCAAUCCCAAUUCGGGGAGGUAGUGACAAUAAAUACUGAUACAGGGCUCUUUAGGGUCUUGUAAUUGGAAUGAGAACAAUUUAAACCCCUUAACGAGGAACAAUUGGAGGGCAAGUCUGGUGCCAGCAGCCGCGGUAAUUCCAGCUCCAAUAGCGUAUAUUAAAGUUGUUGCAGUUAAAAAGCUCGUAGUUGAACCUUGGGCCUGGCUGGCCGGUCCGCUUCGCGGCGUGCACUGGUCCGGCUGGGCCUUUCCUUCUGGGGAACCCCAUGGCCUUCACUGGCCGUGGGCGGAACCAGGACUUUUACUGUGAAAAAAUUAGAGUGUUCAAAGCAGGCCUUUGCUCGGAUACAUUAGCAUGGAAUAAUAGAAUAGGACGUGUGGUUCUAUUUUGUUGGUUUCUAGGACCGCCGUAAUGAUUAAUAGGGAUAGUCGGGGGCGUCAGUAUUCGGCUGUCAGAGGUGAAAUUCUUGGAUUUGCUGAAGACUAACUACUGCGAAAGCAUUCGCCAAGGAUGUUUUCAUUAAUCAGUGAACGAAAGUUAGGGGAUCGAAGACGAUCAGAUACCGUCGUAGUCUUAACCAUAAACUAUG
rnacentral:rRNA from 1 species